rnacentral:misc_RNA from 1 species
GAAAACCUUCAUAUAUACCAAGAAAUUGUUGUGUCUUUUACAAUUAUCAUCAUGGCCGCACUUAAGAUGGUUAGCUUUCUUGUUCUAUGCAUGUUGGUGGCAGCUCCAAUGACUGCACAAGCUAUAACAUGUGGUCAAGUACAAAGCGCUCUCGUCCCAUGUCUUAGUUACCUCAAGACUACGGGGCCAACCCCUCCGGCAACAUGCUGUAAUGGGGUGAGGACCAUCAACAACGCUGCUAAAACCACCGCUGACCGCCGAACUGCUUGUCAGUGCUUGAAAUCAGCUGCUGGCAGCGUCAAGGGGCUUAACCCCACCACCGUAGCGGGUCUCCCUGGUAAAUGCGGAGUUAACAUUCCUUACAAGAUCAGCCUGUCCACAAACUGUGCCACCGUCAAGUGAGGUGG